UGGGGGAUAUUGCACAAUGGGCGAAAGCCUGAUGCAGCGACGCCGCGUGGGGGAUGAAGGCUUUCGGGUUGUAAACCUCUUUCGCUAUCGAACAAGGCCCGCUUAGGGUGGGUUGAGGGUAGGUGGAGAAUAAGCGCCGGCUAACUACGUGCCAGCAGCCGCGGUAAUACGUAGGGCGCGAGCGUUGUCCGGAAUUAUUGGGCGUAAAGGGCUUGUAGGCGGCUUGUUGCGCCUGCUGUGAAAACGCGGGGCUUAACUUCGCGCGUGCAGUGGGUACGGGCAGGCUUGAGUGUGGUAGGGGUGACUGGAAUUCCAGGUGGAGCGGUUGAAUGCGCAGAUGUCUGGAGGAACACCGAUGGCGAAGGCAGGUCACUGGGCCAUUACUGACGCUGAGGAGCGAAAGCAUGGGUAGCGAAAAGG
rnacentral:rRNA from 1 species